AUAGAGCAAGAGUUCACCUUCUCCAACGUCUCUUCAAUGGCUUCAUCACUCAAUUUCUCACUCCUGCAUUUUUUGAGAAUUUUGUUGCAGAAUGUGGCAAGAAGUUCAGCGCUUGAGCUACCAGCAACACCCUUGUUGCAGAAAAGUUCGAAAGCCUCUUUAAGUGCCU